rnacentral:rRNA from 1 species
AUGGCGGAGCACAAGGAGGAGUCGGUGAUGGACAAGAUCACGGAGAAGUUCCACGGGGGGUCCUCCUCCUCGUCGUCGUCGGACGACGAGGGGAAGCUCGGGUCGUCGUCGUCCGUCAAGGCCAAGAUCUACCGCCUCUUCGGCCGCGAGAAGCCCGUCCACUCCGUCCUCGGCGGCGGCAAGCCUGCCGACCUCUUCCUGUGGAGGAACAAGAAGAUCUCUGGCGGGGUGCUCGCGGGCGCCACCGCCAUCUGGCUGCUGUUUGAGGUCCUGGAGUACCAUCUCCUCACCCUCCUCUGCCACGGCUUCAUCCUCACCCUGGGCAUCCUCUUCCUCUGGUCCAACGCCUCUGCCUUCGUCAACAAGUGCCCUCCCAACAUUCCAGAGGUGAAGAUCCCCGAGGACCUGGCUGUCAAUGUUGCCCGCUCGCUGCGAUACGAGAUCAACAGGGGCUUUGCUAGCCUGAGGGCGAUUGGUCAAGGCCGUGACCUGAAGAAAUUCCUGAUUGUGGUUGCAGGCCUGUGGAUCCUCUCUUUUCUUGGCAGCUGCUGCAAUUUCCUGACCUUGUUCUACAUAGUCUUCAUGGUGCUUUACACCGUGCCUGUUCUGUACGAGAAGUAUGAGGACAAGAUCGAUGCUUUUGGAGAGAAGGCCAUGGUCGAGCUGAAGAAGUACUAUGCCAUCUUCGAUGAGAAGUGCCUGUCCAAGAUUCCCAAGGGUCCGUCCAAGGAUAAGAAGCAGCAUUAG